GAGAGUAUAUGAAAUAAACGUGAAUUUUUGAUUUUAUUCUAGUUCGUUGCAACAGUAAUUAGUGCAAGUUAACAUUAAUUAAUAGCUUACGACUUGUGCCAAUUAAUUCCUAUAACAAUAGGUGUGAGGUAGGUUACAGUUUAUUAUCUACCUUGGUUUUAUAAGUGGUGAAAUUUGGUGGUUUUAUCAUGCAUUCUAACGCGAAUCAGCCUAAAUAUCGAACGUGUGUUUUUCAACCGUUUUUAACAAGGACAGUACAAAUUAUAGAGUCGAGGAGUUUAAAUAUGUACCGUGUUUCACAAAUCAUAGCUGAUUUUGUCAAUGUGCUGCUAUUUAAAUUUCAAAAAAAUAAUUUAUGUAAGCAAUUUGUUUCAUUGGAAUCCUUUCCAUUAAAAAUUUCUUUGUAAAAUCUGAGUGCAAAAAGGUGAUGUCAUAUAAUUAUUUGUAUGGAAACAUCACAGAAAACCAUAGAUUGUCUCACAAAGCAGUCCAACGCCGGGAAAAGCAACCAUACGGCUGUCAAAGAUGGUGUCCCCCAUGCUACGAGUUAUACAAGUGGACUAGCUUCUUCGUCCUUGUGUCUUACUGCCCUUCAAUGAGAAAACAGAAGUUCCAUUUCAUAACCUAGGACAGCACGUGCUGAGCGUGAUCUGAAGGCUACCAGCCGUGAUGCGAGUGGUCUGUAGAGAUGUGCACUUUUUACACGCGUAAUAAAGCAUACAGACAACUUUUUCAUAAUACAGUUUGUGAUUUACAUCUGCCAGAUGUCGAUCAAGGAAUGUCUUACAUGCACCAAACACAUGUAAAAAUCCUAAAAGAAAGAUAUGAAUCAAGGAAAUUUUUAUUCGGUUAAAAGCUCAUUAGAGCUUAUGUUUUGU